GGGAGAGAAGCAGUAAGUGGUAUAGGCGGUCGCCUGUUAAGCGAAUGACAGUGAGUUCGAAUCUCACCUCUCCCGCCA
rnacentral:tRNA from 3 species